rnacentral:precursor_RNA from 17 species
AUUGGCCAAGCUGACUGCAUGUUGAUUGAUGUCUUACCAGGCAAGGUUAGAUAUGGCUAUUUAAGUCUAAUACUGUCUGGUAAUGCCGUUGAUCUCAUGUCAUAAGUUCUUCACUUUGU